rnacentral:rRNA from 1 species
GUUGAACGCUGGCGGCAGGCCUAACACAUGCAAGUCGAAUGGUAACAGGAAACAGCUUGCUGUUUCGCUGACGAGUGGCGGGCGGGUGAGUAAUGUCUGGGAAACUGCCUGAUGGAGGGGGAUAACUACUGGAAACGGUAGCUAAUACCGCAUAACGUCGCAAGACCAAAGAGGGGGACCUUCGGGCCUCUUGCCAUCAGAUGUGCCCAGAUGGGAUUAGCUAGUAGGUGGGGUAACGGCUCACCUAGGCGACGAUCCCUAGCUGGUCUGAGAGGAUGACCAGCCACACUGGGACUGAGACACGGUCCAGACUCCUACGGGAGGCAGCAGUGGGGAAUAUUGCACAAUGGGCGCAAGCCUGAUGCAGCCAUGCCGCGUGUAUGAAGAAGGCCUUCGGGUUGUAAAGUACUUUCAGCGGGGAGGAAGGGAGUAAAGUUAAUACCUUUGCUCAUUGACGUUACCCGCAGAAGAAGCACCGGCUAACUCCGUG